AACGGCGGCCAGCCCCGCCCCACGCUGGCGUCGUCCUGCGCGCUCCGCCCUCGGCGGCCAGUGCGUGUGCGUGCGCGCGCGCCCGGCCGGAAGUGCGCUCGCGUGGAGUUGUGGGUGCGUGGCGGGUUUGCCGGUUGGGAUCGUGGGGUGGGGUUUUCUGCCAUUUUUUGAGCAUCCCGAUAUGCACUAGCCUGUUAGCAUGUUAGGCAUGCACAGUUGGGGCAAAGAGCCUGAGAGAAUAUGUAGAUUGACAGAGUGUGAGCAGGGGAGGGGCAGAGAGAGAGGAAGACACAGAAUCCCAAGCAGGCUCCAGGCUCUGAGCAGUCAGCACAGAGCCCGACACGGGGCUCGAACCCACAACACCGAGAUCAAAAGUCGCAUGUUCUUCCAACUCAGCCAGCCAGGUGCCCUUCUUUAUAUUGUUAAUUAUAAAAGUCAUAUUUUAUCAUAUAUAUAAUUUGCAAGUAUCUUCUCCCAUCUAUGACUUGUCUUUUUCUUGAUUGAGUCCUUUGAAGCAGAAAAGUUUUUAACUUUGAUGAAGUCCAAUUUAUCUAUUUUUUCUUUUGUCAACUCUGCUUUUUGUAUCAUAUCUAAUUAACCAGGUCAUGAAGAUUUAUUCUUGCUUUCCCUAAGAAUUUUAUAAUUUUUUAACUCUUUUUAAAUUUUAUUAUAUUUUUAAUGUUUAUUUUUGAGAGAGAGAGAGUGAGCAGCAGAGGGGCGGGGUGGGGGAAGGAUGGAGGAUCCGAAGCAGGCUCCAUACUGACAGCAGAGAGCCGAAUGCUGGGCUUGAACUCCUAAACAGUGAGAUCAUGACCUGAGCGAAAGUCAGACACGUCACUUAACCAAAUGAGCCACCCAGGCGCCCCUCUUUUUUUAAAAUACAUAUUUUUUAAUGUUUACUUAUUUUUGAGAGAGAGAGACAGACAGAGUGCAAGCAGGGGAGGGGCAGAAAGAGAGGGAGACACAGAAUCCAAAGCAGGAUCCAGGCUCUGAGCUGUCGGCACAGAGCCCAAUGUGGGGCUCAAACCCAUAAACUGUGAGAUCAUGACCUGAGCUGAAGUUGGACGCUUAACCGACUGAGCCCCCCAGGUGCCCCUAAAUGUGUGUUUUUUUUUAAUGUUUGUUUGUUUAUGGGGUGGGGAGAGACUGAGACUGGAAGAGGGGCAGAGAGAGGGAGAGAGAGAGUCUCAAGCAGGCUCCAUGCUCCGUGCAGAGCCCAAUGCACGACUUGAUCCCACAUCUUCGAGAUCACGACCUGAGCCCAAAUCAAGAGUCGGAUGCUUAACUGACUGAGCCACUGGGCUCCUCUUGGCUCUUUUUUAAAAAAAAUCGUUUUAGCUCUUACAUUUAGGUCUUUGAUGCAUUUUGAAUUAAUUUUUAUAUAUUAUGCCAGCUAGGGGGCCAACUUCAUCCUUUUGCAUGUGGAUAUACAAGUUGUACUUUUAAACUGCUACAUUUGGGGUGCUUGUCAUAUAGCAAUAAAUAACUGCAAACCAUCUCCCGAUUCUUCGUCCCCCAUCUCGUUCAACCAACCAACCAACCAACCAACCAACCGAGUCCGUGGAUUUUACCUCCUCCAUUUCAUGGAUCCUUCCAUUCUCACUGCCACUCUCCCAGGUCACUAUCACCUCUGACUGAGACAAGAGCCACAGCAGCCUUCUCAUCCAGUCUCUCCACUUCUAGAAUGCCUUCAUUUAGCCAGAGAUAGGUUUUUAAUGCUAAUCUGAUUGUGUCCACUUCCGUUUAAAACACUUCACUGCUCUUAGCACCAAGUCCAAACUCCUGAAAAUGGGUUAAGACCCUUCAUGACCUGCCUAUAAUCCCUUUUCAGCUUCCACCCCAUCCACACCCUCCCUCCCUUACAGCCAGUACCCAUUUCCUUCCCUGAAAACACGGGCAUCAUCUCUCCUCAAGAAGACGUUCCUGACUACCCAAGGCUGUAUUAGUAAUUUUCUUUUUUUUUUUUUAAUGUUUAUUCUUGAGACAGAGAGAGACAGCAUGAAUGAGGGAGGGGCAGAGAGAGGGAGACACAGAAUCCGAAGCAGGUUCCAGGCUCUGAGCCAUUGAGCUAUCAGCACAGAGCCAGAUGCGGGGCUCUAACUCACAGACUAUGAGAUCAUGACCUGAGGCAAAGUCGAAUGCUUAACCAACUGAGCCACUAGGCACCCCUGUACUAGUAAUUUUCAAGUCUGCUAUUCCACUAUGGAAACAAUCUCUUGUAUGAAUCCCCUCUCCAUCACCUCAGCUGUAAUCUCCAAACACUGUCUUUAAAUAUCAUCAUUGUACUUCUGCUUAGCAAACAUGCCAGUAUCCAUGAAUGCAGCAUGACUUAGACAAUGAGAAUUCCUCAGUGUAUUCGGGGUAGUGACACUUUUGUAUGGUCU